rnacentral:rRNA from 1 species
UACGAAGGGGGCUAGCGUUGUUCGGAAUUACUGGGCGUAAAGCGCACGUAGGCGGGUAUUUAAGUCAGGGGUGAAAUCCCAGAGCUCAACUCUGGAACUGCCUUUGAUACUGGGGUACCUAGAGUAUGGAAGAGGUGAGUGGAAUUCCGAGUGUAGAGGUGAAAUUCGUAGAUAUUCGGAGGAACACCAGUGGCGAAGGCGGCUCACUGGUCCAUUACUGACGCUGAGGUGCGAAAAGCGUGGGG